rnacentral:tRNA from 1 species
AGGACAUGUGCCCGAAAGUUAGGACUCACUUUGA